AUACGGAGGGUGCAAGCGUUAAUCGGAAUUACUGGGCGUAAAGCGUACGUAGGCGGUUAUUUAAGUCAGAUGUGAAAGCCCCGGGCUUAACUUGGGAACUGCAUUUGAAACUGGGUAACUAAAGUUUAGUAGAGGGGAGUGGAAUUUCAGGUGUAGCGGUGAAAUGCGUAGAGAUCUGAAGGAACACCAGUGGCGAAGGCGACUCCCUGGACUAAAACUGACGCUGAGGUACGAAAGCGUGGGUAGCAAACAGAAUUAGAAACCCUUGUAGUCC
rnacentral:rRNA from 1 species